AUUGAACGCUGGCGGCAUGCCUUACACAUGCAAGUCGAACGGUAACAGGUCUUCGGAUGCUGACGAGUGGCGAACGGGUGAGUAAUACAUCGGAACGUGCCUAGUAGUGGGGGAUAACUACUCGAAAGAGUAGCUAAUACCGCAUGAGAUCUACGGAUGAAGGCAGGGGAUCGCAAGACCUUGUGCUACUAGAGCGGCCGAUGGCAGAUUAGGUAGUUGGUGGGAUAAAAGCUUACCAAGCCGACGAUCUGUAGCUGGUCUGAGAGGACGAUCAGCCACACUGGGACUGAGACACGGCCCAGACUCCUACGGGAGGCAGCAGUGGGGAAUUUUGGACAAUGGGCGAAAGCCUGAUCCAGCAAUGCCGCGUGCAGGAUGAAGGCCUUCGGGUUGUAAACUGCUUUUGUACGGAACGAAAAGCUUUGGGUUAAUACCCUGGAGUCAUGACGGUACCGUAAGAAUAAGCACCGGCUAACUACGUGCCAGCCGCCGCAGUAA
rnacentral:rRNA from 1 species